rnacentral:rRNA from 1 species
UUCGCAAUGCCCGAAAGGGUGACGAAGCGACGCCGCGUGUGGGAAGAAGGCCUUCGGGUUGUAAACCACUGUCAGGAGUUAAGAAAUGUAAGGAUGUUAAUAGCGUCCUUGCUUGACUAAGGCUCCGGAGGAAGCCACGGCUAACUCUGUGCCAGCAGCCGCGGUAAUACAGAGGCGGCAAGCGUUGUUCGGAAUUAUUGGGCGUAAAGAGCACGUAGGCGGCUUUGCAAGUCAGUUGUGAAAGCCUUCCGCUUAACGGAAGAACAGCAGCUGAUACUACAGAGCUUGAGUACGGGAGGGGAGAGUGGAACUUCUGGUGGAGCGGUGAAAUGCGUAGAUAUCAGAAGGAACGCCGGCGGCGAAAGCGAUUCUCUGGUCCGAAACUGACGCUGAGUGUGCGAAAGCUAGGGGAUCAAACGGGAUUAGAUACCCCGGUAGUCCUAGCCGUAAACGAUGGGCACUAAGUAGAGGGGUUUU